AGUGAACGCUGGCGGUAGGCCUAACACAUGCAAGUCGAACGGCAGCACAGUAAGAGCUUGCUCUUACGGGUGGCGAGUGGCGGACGGGUGAGGAAUACAUCGGAAUCUACUUUUUCGUGGGGGAUAACGUAGGGAAACUUACGCUAAUACCGCAUACCACCUACGGGUGAAAGCAGGGGAUCUUCGGACCUUGCGCGAUUGAAUGAGCCGAUGUCGGAUUAGCUAGUUGGCGGGGUAAAGGCCCACCAAGGCGACGAUCCGUAGCUGGUCUGAGAGGAUGAUCAGCCACACUGGAACUGAGACACGGUCCAGACUCCUACGGGGGGCAGCAGUGGGGAAUAUUGGACAAUGGGCGCAAGCCUGAUCCAGCCAUACCACGUGGGUGAAGAAGUCCUUCGGGUUGUAGAGCCCUUUUGUUGGGAAAGAAAAGCAGCAGGUUAAUACCCCGCUGUUCUGACGGUACCCAAAGAAUAAGCACCGGCUAACUUCGUG
rnacentral:rRNA from 1 species